GAGGAAGAGCUCACUGUCGUCAGGCAGUCGGAGGUGGACAGAUUUUCCCAUCAUGCACUGGGGUAUCAGUGGAUCAGCUGAGAUGAGCAAUACAGUCAGCUGCUGCCUCGCAGAUUUUAUUUACAGCACAUAGCUGACUGAGUGGAGUCAGCUCUGAUCCACCAAUCAACAGAGAGCAGUCAACAACAGGAGACGGAGCCAGAACCUCAGAGCUUGCCCAGGUGAGCAGCCACAGACUUCAUCUACAACACCAGCAGCUGUCACCUCCAGAAGUUCACGGAUGACUCUACCAUUAUCAGCUGUGUGUCUAGGGGGAAUGACCAGGACAGGAGUACAGGUCAGUCAUCAUGGACUUUGUGGGCUGGUGUGAGCAUAACACCUUUGCAUGAACAUCCAUAAGACAAAGGAAACGGUGAUCGACUUCCAGAGAAACACUCCCCCUCACUCACCAGUAAACAUCCAGGGAGCAGACAUUGAGGUGGUAAAUACAUUUAAGUACCUGGGUGUUCACCUCAACAGUAAACUGAACUGCUCCAACAACACAGAGGUCCUGUAAGAGCCGCCUUCACCUCCCGAGGAGGCUGAGGUCCUUAGGAGUUCAUUCCAAUCUGCUAAAAUCUUUAUAUCGCUCUGUGGUUGGAUCUGUUAUCCACUCUGCUGUGGUCUGUUGGGGUGCAGGCAGCGCUGACCGAGACAAGAAAAAAACUGAAUAUGUUAGUUAAAAGAGCUAGCUCAGUUCUGGGUUGCCCACUGGAUUCUGUACAAGUGUGACAGAACAACACAUUCUCACUCCCUAAGCGUCAAAAACAAACGCUUGGUCAGCCACCCUCCACG